rnacentral:lncRNA from 1 species
UUUUCGAAGUGUUAAAAGAGUCUUGAAGUUGUUGGAUUGAUCUUUCGGCCCGCCCUUGUUGCGUAAGUUUAGGUGCAGAAGUAAUUCUAAUUGGGCUUUCAAAUCGAUCAACUUGGAUUCUUAAAAUAAACUAUAAUCGAAAGUGUGGUGAUUGACGGAUCGUAUGGAGGACAGAAAACAACAAACGAAGCUGCCUCUUUUUAAACUAAUUUAAAAAGGAAAAGAAUCCCUGGCCAACGGCGGACACAUGCCUGGGAGACAGGCCCAGAUGCUAAUGGGCAUUUCAUUUUCGGGACUUUAGGAUUCAAGCCUGGAGGCUUGAUUAUUGGGCGAAGUCAUCCAUACUCUGUUCUGAGGUCCGCAGGAAACAAGUUUAGGGUUAGAAGAUUUGAGGUGAAGGAGAUUGUGUUCGUUCUGAUUUCAUUAUGAAUUUGAAUCAAAACUGAGAAAUUGUUAUAUAAAUAUAAGCCGCGGAUGCACAGGAGCCACUUCGGACAUGAGAAAAAGACUGAACGAUUGUCGAUUACAUCUGGUAUUUAUUAUUAUUACUAUUUUUUUGGGGAAAUAUAACCCAAAAUGAAAGACAACCCAAAAUAUUAUUAUUAUAAUUACUAUAUAUAGAGUGAUUUUUCAAUUAGAAUUCUUUAACUUUAAUAAAAUUAAGAAUUAGUUAAAAGAAAAAAAUUAAAUUUUAAUACACAAUAAAAUACAGUACAUUGAAGGAUUCCGAAUUGAAAAAUUAUUGUGUACAUAUAUGUAUAUAUUCGGACAAAUCACUUUCAAAAUUAAAGAAAAGAAAAGGGUAAAUUUUAGGGACCUCCCCUGAGGUUUGAAGUAUUAACACUUUAAUAGAAUGUAUUGAUGUAAUUACACAUACUUCCCUUGCCGUUAGUAUAAAAAUACGUAUGGUGUUAGUAUAAAAGGAUAAAUAUGUAAAAGCUUAUUUAAAAUUCAAAAUAAUUCAAAAUUAAAGCUUUAAGUUUUUUAUGUCUGCGAAAUCUUGCUUGGUUUACUCUAUUAUCUAGUGGUGUGCAAUGACCAGUGGACAAAAGUAAAAAAAAAUCUUCACAAAAUAAAGCCUGCACUUAGCUUUCUUUUUCAUCUAAGCAACAACCAGCCAUUUUCGUCUUCCUAAGGCUGUGAAGAAGCAGCUGCAUUUGCCCAAAACCUUUUCAAGAUUAAAAAACAUUUUAGCUCCAAUUAGGGGUGGGCAAAAAAACCGUAGUCUCAAAAAAACCGAACCGAACCGACGGUUUUUUCUAAUUCGGUUCGGUUUUUAUUUAAAAAAAAAAACUAAAUAUACCGUUUGUAAAAAAAAUCGAAAUGUCGGUUCGGUAUUCGGUUCACUUAGCUGAACCGAAAAACCGAACCGAAAAACCGAAUUAUUUUUUGAUUUUAUUCAAAUCAAAUAUGUGUUAAUAAUUUUAUUCAAAUCAAAUAUGAUUUUAUUCAAAUCAAACAUGUGUUAUUUUUCUUUAUAACAUUAUGAUUAUGUUUAUAUAGAUGGAGUAUUGGAGUUUGGUUAUAUAUUUUGAAAUUUUAAUAUUUCAUAUAUUUGGGAGUAUCUUAUUAAUAGUUAGUAAGAUAUUAGUGAUAAAAUGUGUUUUGAAUACUUUGUAUUUAUUGUUAAUAUUUGUAAUAAAAUUAGGAUAAAUUAAUUGUUGAAAAAAAUUAUUACAUUCACGAGGCCCAAUGGGCUAAAAAUUUAAAAAUUCAAAAUAGGCCUAAUAGGCCCAGAACCGAAAAAACCGAACCGAACCGAACCGAUCCGAAAAGAACCAUUUGAGUUCGGUUCUUAUUGAGUUCGGUUCUUAUUCGGUUCUUUUUAUAAAAUAACCGAUUUAAAUCGGUUCUACUUAAUUUCGAACCGAACCGAACCCAACCGAACCAUGCCCACCCCUAGCUCCAAUUAAGAACAAGAUGAGUUCUGAUGGUGGCCCAAGUCUUCCAUGAAGCGAGUACCAGCGGCGAACGACUUCAUCCGCGACAGGAGUGAGAAAGAGAUAAUCUAUAGAUGAUUUUGUUGAACUUGGGUUAAUUAAACCUGAAAAUGGGUUCUUUGUAUUUUGAAAUUUUUUUUGUGCAUGUUGAUUUCAACAACUGUGGGUUUUGAUUUUCUUCAUUUUGAGCUAAUCAAAGUGUAAUGAUAGAAAGCUUUAGCCUUUAUGUAAAUUUUGAUUUAAAAAUUAGUGGGUUUAUCACUGUUAUGAAGUUGUUCUGCACUGAGCAAAUGAAUGAAAAGAGAAAAAAAAUCUUUUCUCAAUAUUUUUUCUUGACUUAUCCUUGUUUUGAAUUCUUUUGCGUCAUCAUCGUCCGUAAUUGAUUAAUUUGCAGUUGGAAACUGGAGAGACUCGAACAAAACCGUAGCUUAUAUGGCAUCUCCUAGUUGUAGAGAUAUAGUGGUUUUAUUUUAAACUACUUUGGCAUGUUUUCGGCACCUAUUAGAAUUUUCGACAAUUUCGUGCUAGUUCCACAAUUUUUUUUCUUUUUUUCUUUGCCACUCCUACUGCAUUCUCUUUUUUGGUUUAUUUUAAGCUGUGGUAGCUGGUGAAAAGAUUGAUUAUAUUUUAUGGCAAUUCAUCAGCUGCCUGUACCCAUCGGUUCUCAUCCAUUUUAUUCAAUAAUUUAUUAUUUUUACGAAAAGGGUGUUUUAGUAACUUUAACAGUCAACUAACGGUCAACUUAUCUGGUAAUUAACGGCGAGGGAGGGAUGUGUAAUUACAUUAAUACAUUCUAUCAAAGUGUUAAUACUUCAAACCUCACGAGAGGUCCCUAAAAAUCACCCUACGUUUUUGGAGUUAGAAUCUCCGCUGAAAGCCCCGAAGUUAAAGGUAGGCUACGGAAAGAGUUGACUUUCGUAGCGAUGAAGGAGAGGAAGCAUUUUGUGUUAGUUCAUGGAGCGUGCCUUGGAGCCUGGUGUUGGUACAAAGUCUUGACCCUUCUGAAACUUGCCGGUCACCAUGUGAGUGCUAUAGACCUUGGAGCUUCUGGGGUCAAUAGCAAGCGGCUCGAUGAUGAAAUUGCUUCCAUUUCAGAUUAUUUGCAGCCGCUGAUGGAGUUCAUGGCCUGUUUACCACAAGAAAAAAAGGUGAUUUUGGUUGGUCACAGCUACAGCGGCCUCUGUAUUUCUCUUGCCAUGGAAAAUUUUCAUGAGAAAAUAUCGGUUGCAGUGUUUAUCUCCGCAUAUAUGCCUCACUACAAGUCUCCACCAGCAGCUCUCAUACAAGAAGUAAAGAAAUUUUUCUAAUUUUUUAUAUAAUCAAUUAAUUUGUUAAUAUAAUAUCUAUAAAAAAAAUGCAUCUUUCAUUUUAAUUAUUUACGUGUUUGGUGUGGUUGUCAGUAUUUUAACAGGACCCCAGUGGAGUCUUUACUGGAUUGCCAAUUUACAUUCAACAAAGGCCUGGAAAAUCCGCCAACUUCAGCUCUCUUUGGAGCAGAGUACAUGAAGACCGCGCUUUGCAAGCGCUGCGAGUUAGAGGCAAGCCAUCAAGUUCUUCAUUAAAAGCAUACAAAAUUCCAUCGCAUGUGUUUUUUUUUUUUUUUUUCAAGUACUACUCAAAUUUUCUACUUUCGUUAAUAAUCGCUAAUAUUAAAAAAAUGUCAAUAUGACAUUUCGCAAGAGGGAAGAAAAUUUCUACUUAAUUAUUCUUUAAUUCAGAGAGGAAUUGAUUUUUUAUGUUUCAAAAUGGGAACUCGAACUACUACUCACACAUCUCGCCACUUAGACCUCGGCCUCAUGCAUUAAUUAAUGGGUAACUGAAUUUGUGUCUUUCCUAAUUACUUAAUUAUUCACUUUCAUGAUGCAGGAUUUGGAACUGACCAAAAUGUUGGUCAGACCAACGGGGUUUUUCGUGGAAGAUUUGUCCAAAGAAUCUCUGUUGACAAAAGAAAAGUUCGGGUCGGUGGAUCGAGUUUAUGUCAUCUGCAAAGAAGAUGAAGUGAUGAAAGAGGACUUCCAGCGAGCGAUGAUCGAGGAUUACCAUCCUAAACAAGUUGUGUCAAUUUCUGCAGCUGGCCAUAUGGUCAUGCUUUCAAAGCCUGAAGAGCUUUGCCAAAUUCUACUAGAAGACAUUGCUCACAAAUAAUAGUCUAAUAUUGUUAUGAUUUGUGAUUAAUUUUAUUAUUAUAUAAUAGAUUAAUAUCUCCACUUCAAUCUUUGCUGGGUGGGCAAUCUAAUUCAAAAUAGAAAGAAAUCCAAUCCAAUCCAAACUAUUAUUUAUUGCAUUCCUUGUUUGCAUACGUCGUCGGCGUGGUUGCGUUUUCAAACGGUUCUUUACACGUGGUUCAGUCCGCAUGCGUUAACUUAUUCAACAGUCAGCAAGUCGGCAGGCAAGGCGAGGUGAAGAAAAUCAAGCAACAUAAAUGAGGACGCAGAGCACAGGACUAAUUGGACCCGGUGAAUGGUGAUACAGGGGUCGCGUGCGUGAGUAGUGAUCGGUCGAUCGUUGUUAUUGAUUAUUUAUGACCCAAAGCACUGAACCAAAUUUUAUUGUUAUCAAAUACGAUUACGGAAAGAGGGACAGAGACGUAUGGUGGUCACCUUCCACUAUUGUUAUCAAAUAUGGAGUGGCGACAAAAUCGAUUUCAGAUUGUGGUCCAAUUCAUAUAUACACAUAUGGACCUUGCUACGUUCAGACUCUGUAUAUCUGCCAGCAGGCUUCCAGUUUCCAUAAUUGCGAGAAAAUUUCAUUAGAAACCGCCCCGCUGCCGCAUCACUAUUAUUAGCGGCAAGUUUCCUUUUUUGGUUAGGAUGAUGUACAAUUGUUUAUUAUCACUUUCGUGUGAUAAGAUUUUUUUUUUCCCUCUUGUCAUUUUUUUGGGAGGAGAUUUCACUUCAAUAAUAAAUUAAUAAUAAAGGGAUUACAUAUAGUUUAAGUUUCCGAGAUAAAAAGCGAACGAUGAAUUAUAAAUGAGACGAUCGAUUGGAUUAAAUGAAAAAUAUAAACACAUGAAAUGAAUAGAUUAAUAUAUGAUCUAAAGUCUAAACGAACAAUAAAAUUGUCAAUUUCUACUACCGUACAUAGUCACUGCCUUCUUAAUUACUUUUCACUUCCUCUUUAUUUUCAUAUUACUAAAAUCUUUGUACUGAAGGCCAUUUUGUAAUGAUAUAAUUUUUAAAAUAGUUGAUAUUAGUUAUAGUGUAGAAAUAAUUAUUUGUGAAGAAGAAUGGUUAAAUAUUUAGUAAAUUUUAUUUUUAAAAGUAAUUUUUAAAAGAAUUUACCAAACACUAGAAUUUAUAAAAUCUGUAUAGAUUAAAAAAAUUAGGAAAUUAAAAAAAAUUAUUUAAUUUGUAUUUGUGUGUGAAAUAGGAUACAAGGGUAGAUUAAUGGUGUGUGAAAUUCCAAAUAUAUAUAUAUAUAUAUUGUGGUAAUAGGAUUUGUUGAAGUAAUACUCCUAAGCUUUAUGAACCUUAGGAGGUGAUAAGGAUUAAGGAGGUACAAAUAACAAGAGAAGAGAAAAGGGUAUUGAAAUUGAAAUCUGAAUGCUUAUGCUUGAAAAAAGAGGAAGGUGAAAGCGAACAUAGAAAGAAAAAGAGUAAAUAAAUGAAAAAGUGGGAAAGAAAUUAAAAGGAGUGAGUGAGUUGUAAUAAUCAGAAAUCCCAGUCAAAAGGUCAACUGCAAUUAAUUUUUGUUAGUUGGUACUUAUCCAGACGCUAGUACGUUGAGAGAGAGAGAGAGAUGGACGGUACUAAAAACACAGGGUUUGUUUUGUUAUCAUUUUUGGGUGAGGCAAGAAUUUUCAUUUACGUAUGGUGGUCACCUUCAAUUAUUGUUAUCAAAGAUGAUUACAAUUUCCAUUUCGAGUGGUGACAAAGUCGAUUUCAGAUUGUGGUCCAAUUCAUAUAUACAUAAAUCUGCCAGCAGGCUUCCAGUUUCCGUAAUUGCGAGACAAUUUCAUUAGAAACCGCCCCGCUGCCGCAUCACUAUUAUUAGUGGUAAGUUUCCUUUUUGGGAUAGGAUGAUGUACAAUUGUUUAUUAUCACUUUCGUGUGAUAAGAUUUUUUUUCCCCUCUUCAUUUAUUUGGGAGGAGAUUUCACUUCAAUAAUAAAUUAAUAAUAAAGGGAUUACAUAUAAUUUAAGUUUCUGAGUUAUAAACGAGACAAUCGAUUGGAUAAAAUAAAAAAUAUAAACACAUGGAAUGAAAUAGACUAAUAUAUGAUCUAAAGUCGAAACGAACAAUAAAAUUACUAAUUUCCACUAUCGCAUAUAGUCACUGCCUUCUUAAUUGCUUUUCACUUCCUCUUUAUUUUCAUAUUAUUAAAGUCGUCAUUUUGUAAUGAUAUAAUUUUUAAAAUAGUUGAUAUUAGUUAUAGUGUAGAAAUAAUCAUUCGUGAAGAAGAAGGGUUAAAUAUUUAGUAAAAUUUAUUUACCAAACACUAGAAUUUGCCUAUAUGUACUUUAAAAAAUAUAAAAUCUGCAUAGAUUGAAAAAAAUAAGGAAAUUAAAAAAAAUUAUUUAAUUUGUAUUUGUGUAUGAAAUAGGAUACAGGGGUAGAUUAAUGGUGUGUGAAAUUCCAAAAAAAAAAAGAAAUUGUGGUAGUAGGAUUUGUUGAAGUCUGUAACAGCAAUAGUCAAUAAAUGAAUAUCAACGUUAAAAGAAGAAUGACAUUUUCGCCCCUCAUAAAAAUUACUUUUAUCAUUUGUUCAAUUACAAAUAUUUAAGAAUUAUUUCUUUUUUGGAGUUACAGCAUUCAAAAAAAAAAAAUCCAAUGAUGGUAUACAUGACUUUUUUACACACAAAUUGAUAUUACACAAAAUUUAAUUCUCAAACAAAUUAAAUUUAGUCAAUUUAUAUGUUAAAAAAACACAUUUACUAGGAAUAUAUGAGCAUAAGCUUGAACGCAUGCACGAAAAUUUUAUGAAUAAUGUCAUGACAUUAAUUUUCAUUUUAAAAUUUUGACGGUGAAUGAUGUCAUGUCAUAUGUCAUUCGUCAAGCAAAUAACGAAAAAAUUUCACGAAUUUCAUUUUGAUUGAUAAUUUUACUUCAUCAUUCACUUGAAGAAUGCAAUAUUUGAGACAAACAUUUUAGAAUAAAAUUUGAAAUAUGAAGCAUGCAUUAUUCAAAUUUUUUUGGAGACAUUGCUUAAGUCCAAGGGGCAGACGUGGGUCUUACUAUUAGCUAGUGUUGAAACAAUAAGCUUGCCGACUAUCGUGUGAUCAUUCCUUCGAAACUUUGUUGGAUCGGAGGUUGUGGUUGUGGGAUUAAGCUUUCAAUUGGUCGAUGAGAAUACGACAAUGCUAUGAUUCAUUUUAUAUUUGCCGCCCCACACUCGUCACCCACCAAGCUUAAUCGGAGAAAUUAAAGAAAAUGGAGGAGAAGGACGAUAAGGCGCAGUUUAUUCUAGUACAUGGUACUUGCUUUGCCGUUGAUGGAGUUCAUCAUGGCUUCUCUGCCACAAGAGGAGCCAGCGAUGUUUUAGUGGGUCACAGUUAUUUAUGGUGGUCUCGGAGUUUCAUUAGCCAUGGAGAGCUUCCCGGACAAAUUUUAGUAGCUGUUCAUUCCUAAUUUAAUAUCCCUGGCAACUCUAGUACAAGAAGUAAUCAAUAUUAAUUACAUUAUAUUAAUUAUUGCGAUAUUUAUGUAUCUCUUAAACAUUAAUCAUGCGUGUUUCACAUGCAAAUAGCUAGCUAGCUGUCUGUUUCAUUUGUUGGGUGCAUUCACGAAACAGUUCUUCAAAUUGAAAUCAAUGGAUACUGUACCAGACUUCAAGUUCUCAUUUGAUCAUGGAAGAGAUGACCCACCAACUUCUGCUAUUUUUUGGCGCCGUUGCACCCAAAAGAGGUAAAGCAUGAUUAAUAUUAAUUAUUAUUAUUAUUAUUAUUAUAUUAUAGCUAAAUUCUGUCAUAAUGGAUGCAGCCCUUGGAAUUAGCCAAGAUGCUGUUAAGACCAAGUCAUGAGCUGCUUUUAGCUAAUGAUAAGCUUUUCGAGGAAGAUUUUCAGAGAUGGUUUAUUGAGAUAUUACCCAACCAAAGACGUGAAGCUUAUUCAAGGAUCUGAUUUUGAUCACAUGGUUAUGCUUCCAAAGCUUCAAGAGCUUCAUAAAUGCCUACUGGAAAUUGCUCAAUCAUUUAGUUAAACUGGUCCUCCCCCGCGCCGCCCCCAUCUUUUUCUUUUCUUUUUUUAAAAAUUUUGGAUCCAGUUAAACCUGUCUUUCAAUAAAAGCAAUAAUUUGUGGAUAUUUCGCUUUCAAUCAGAUUUGUAAUAAUCUUAUCAUUCACUUUAUAUGGAAAACAAUAGAGAGACGCACCUCAUUUGUCACAACACUUUAACAUUUUCAAAUUAAUUGGCAUAUAAUUUUGUGCGAUAAGGAGUAAUAUCCAAUAAUUCGUAUUUUAAACGCUAAACAUUAAUAGAUGUUCUACUGUCCUAUUCAGCUUGUUGUCAACUUAUGAAAUUUCUUUUAAUAUUAUUAUAGUGUAAAAUCAAUCAAAUUUUUUUUUCACCUGUAUAAUUAAGGUUCAAAUUCUUGACCUCUUAUUUCAAUAUAAGAGAUUUUACUAUUUAAACUAGAUCUAAAUGGUACCCACAAAAAUUCUACUUUCAAUAACCAUUGAAUCCCUUAUCUCAAGAAUCAAUAACGAUGCAAAGAAAUCUAAUAUAUAAGAGCGGGGCUAUUUGAACUCACUAAUUUACUUUCAACACUCAUUUUUUAGUUAAAUUAAUUAUCAAAUGAUAAAUUAUUAUUUUAAUUCAUUAAUUCUCAAAAAUCACAAACUUGCCAUUAAUUAACUAUUUUCUUUCUCUACCGUAACAUUGAUCAAAGUCUAAAUUAAUAUAUCUUUCUUUCAAUUUUUUAAACCUUUCUUGUUAAAUAAACUUUAUCUUUCUCUAACUUUUUACUGUUCAUUAUCAAUUCUUGCAUAUUACUAUCAUUCAAAAUUUUUACUUAUGAAAUUUGACCAAAAAUUUUUAAUAGAUUAAAAAUAAGUACUCAAACUUUUAUUUUUUAUUUUUUAUUUUUACAUAAUAGGGAUUAUUCCCUUCAUUUUGUUUUAGAUUACAAUAGAAUUUUAAUAACGUACACAAAUAUCUAAGCUCUUAGAUUUUUUUUUUUGAACUGAUUAAGCAUCAGACUACUGUAUUACACAAAUAUAUUUACAAUUGCUAUGACAGCAGAUCAUUGCACUGAUAUUUACAAUCAGAUAUAUACUUAGGAUUUAUAUUAUUACAUUUUUAUUCUUGAAGUGCAUACCUAACCAAAUAUCUUUCACAGAUGAGAGAUGUCUCUAUUCCACUUGUAUUUCGCAAAAAAAAAAAUGUUAUAAAUAACCUCCACACAAUUAUAUUAAUUGAAGGAAGUUAAGUCCAUAGGAACUCGAACUAUUGCCCUCAUAGUCAUGCGUGACUUUAAGGGUAAUAGUUCAUCACUGCUCUAUAAGCCCAAGUGGCUAAGCUCUUAGAUUGAAUCAAAUGAAUGGCUGGAUUUUAAUAAGUGAAGAUCUUUUAAGUUUGGGACCAGUAAAGUGUUUCGUAAUUGAAUUGGUAAGAUUGGGACCCACCCAAAUUCUGAAAUUCAAUUUGAAGAGUAUGAACGAUGCGUCAUCAGUGUGCGUGUGUAAUAAAUGCAACACAAAGGCAAGAAGGCAUUAUAAAUAACUAGUUAAGUAGAGAAAAGAAAAUGGAAGAAGUAGUAGGCAUGGAAGAGAAGCAUUUUGUUCUAGUUCAUGGAGUAAACCAUGGAGCAUGGUGUUGGUACAAACUGAAAGCAAGGCUGGUGGCGGGGGGUCACCGGGUGACGGCUGUGGACCUAGCCGCCUCGGGCAUCAACAUGAAGAGAAUUGAGGAUGUGCACACAUUCCAUGCAUACAGUGAGCCCUUGAUGGAGGUUUUGGCAUCACUUCCUGCCGAAGAAAAGGUCAUACUUGUCGGACACAGUCUUGGGGGCGUCACUUUGGCCCUUGCCGCCGACAAAUUCCCACACAAAAUCUCCGUGGCUGUUUUCGUAACUGCAUUCAUGCCUGACACCACACACCGCCCAUCUUUUGUUUUGGAGCAGGUUCCCGUAUCUCUCUCUCGUCUCAUCUGAAUCUGAUCAUCACAUUUAUUUGAGAUGCAUGCGUGUUUAAAGUUGAAACUGAUCUGUAACUCUUUAAUUAACCAACCAGUCAAUUAAUUGCGAUUACUGUAUUUUGUUCUAAUUUGUUGGAUUUUAUGUGCAUGUUGAAAAGUAGUAUUCUGAGAAGAUGGGAAAAGAGGACGACAGCUGGUUGGACACUCAAUUUUCACAAUGUGACGCGUCAAAUCCAUCUCACAUUUCCAUGCUUUUCGGCCGCGAGUUCUUGACUAUCAAGAUCUAUCAGCUUUGUCCUCCUGAGGUAAUUAAUUUACUGCGCAUCACAUUCAUCGGACGUGCAAUUGUGCUUCGUCAAAUUGUAUCCUACCUAUAUCUCGGCAGCGACACCAUGCAAAUCAUGUUAAACUUUAUCAUUAUUAUUAUUAUUACUACUCACAUGUCAGAAUUAAUUAAUUGUAGCCGUAGAGCAUUUUUUUUAUACCAUAACACCCUAUUCAUUCAAUUUGUUUAUGUAUUAUGUUAAUUGAAAGGAUCUGGAGCUGGCCAAGAUGUUGGUGAGGCCAGGAUCAAUGUUUAUAGACAACUUAUCGAAGGAAAGUAAGUUCAGCGAUGAAGGAUACGGAUCUGUUAAGCGAGUUUAUCUUGUAUGCGAAGAGGAUAUUGGUCUCCCUAAGCAAUUUCAGCACUGGAUGAUCCAAAACUAUCCCGUUAAUGAAGUGAUGGAGAUCAAGGGCGGUGAUCACAUGGCAAUGCUUUCCGAGCCACAGAAACUUUGCGAUUGUCUGUCUCAGAUUUCUCUUAAGUAUGCAUAAAAUUAAUCUUGUCAGAUGCUUUUCAAACAAAUAAAUAAGUCAAGUGCUUUCUCCGUUUUCUCUUUGCCUGUUGCUGUUAAAUUAAUGUUGUUCGUGGGUGUGAUAUGUCCAAGUCGUGACGACAAGGCUCAAAUCACAUUAUUCUGCUGCUACUUGUAUUAUUGUGCUGCAUAAUUUGAAGCUUGGGCUUAUUACUUUGUUGUCUUUAUGCAUUCACUCGGACGUGAUACACUCGGGAAUUAAUCGUGUAUAUUUUGCUUCGCUGGACAGUAGACAUGAUAUAACUUCAGUGAUAUGAGUGUUCCAAGUUCAAGAUAAGCCUGCCUAUACUCCUCCACAAAAGUCAAAUCAUCUGACUGCACGCAUUUUUAUUACCAACUCACAUAUUUGUAGUUAUUCAUGCAGCCCUUAAAGCAUUUGGACCAUGAAAAACGUAACUGAUACAGAUUAAGAGUAUGCUUGUAAGUUGUAACUAUUAUGCUGCAACCUGAUAUUGAAAACAACAGAGUUUAAAUAUAAGACUAAACUUUGCAAAUUCUUUAACUUAAUUGAUCUUGUCCUUCAAAACAAAAUUGUUUCCACUAUAAUAUGAUACAUCUUCUGAAAUCUUUUGAAUAAUAUUUUCCGGCCAUUCAGAAUUUUGAAAGCGCAGCGACUAAGAUGUAUUCGUUGUGAUAUAAUUAAAUAUUAGAGAUGGAUAAAAAUAGAUUUGGAAUCUUUUUGUUUUUGUUUUUUUCUCUGCAACAAUGGAGUUUGAUAAAAAUAAAUAAAAGGGUUGAGAAAGAAGGGUAAAAUUUUUGGAAAAACUAAGCAAUAAAGGAAAAUUUUGAUAGUUAAUAAAGCAUUAUUGCAUUAGAUACUAGAGUCAUUCAAUCUGGAUCAUUCGCGUCAUUAAAUACUUAGAAGACUAUUGAAUAGGUUUGUCUGAUUAGCAGAACAUAGCUUAUCAAAGGAGGGGGGAAAAAAUAACAUAACAAAGUGCAAGGACCUCAAGGCAUGUCAAGAUUCCGCCCUAGAAGCGUAGGGAAAGAACCAAAUUUAAUAAAUGGCUUUGCGUAAUCGAAUUGUCCGCAAUUAACCCAUAUAGAUUAUAGAACUAAAACCGAUACGGCACCAUCAUUUUCACCACAGAGCCACACAAUAGUGUUCUUGGUGAGGGCACAUGCCUCCUCACUUAACUCAGAUAUUUAAAAACUGUUAGGGCCGUCAGUUGAUCAUAUUUUUGCAUAGUUAUGCUUUUCUUAAAUAUGAAACCCCUCAUUCAUUAUUAAAAAUUUUACAAGGUUCAGCUUAAAACAAUUCCAAUACAGUCAAAAUAAAAAAUGUGCCCAAUUCCAUGCGGUUUAACUCUUAUUUUUCCACUUUUGGAAAACUUCCUUUGGCCCCACAAAGUAGUUUAAUGCCCUGUAGCUUGAAGUACUCCCAUUGCUAUGCAAAAGUCAUGUUACUUGUUCGGUAAAGUCAAAGACACGAGUAAAAAAUGGCCAAAGAUAUCAUAUCACACACAUUGAACAUAAACUUCUCGUUGGUUGUAAUGAAAGUGGCAAGGAAAAAAUGGCCAAUAGAUGACUAGAAGAAAAAUCUUUCUCAGAUUAUUCAACGAGGGAAAACAGUAAGGACAGCUCUGCCCUUGUGAGGUACCCGUUCCCCUUAUCCUCAUAAGGAAGUAGACAAAAUAUUCCUAUAGCCAAAAUAAGGCGCGUGCAAUCCUCAUAAAGACACACUUCAAUGCAUCCAGCCCUAAACAACCUCAACAAACUCAUUCUCAUGCUGCACAAGCAGAAGAACAAAAUUCGGAUGCAAAAGAUGAAGUCAAAGAAAUGAGUUCAGAGAUCUCUUUCUUCUGACUCCUUUACAAGAACACCAGAAAAAUUUCCACAAUGAGCAGAUCAGAAAGCAUGAAUGUUAACCGCACAUUAAAAAAGUGGGCAAAUAUCCUUACCUUCAUCAACUGUUCAAAAGAUUUAUCUGAUAAAUCAAUAACAUUGAAAUAUCAACACAAAUUUGGCCCAAGGGUUUUGACGAACUGGAGAGCUCUUUCAGAACAUCUGUCUCAGCUGUUCUGAUAAAUAUUUCCAUUCAUUUUUACCAAUUAAACAAAUGCCUCUUUAAUAGAUUGAAAGGAUCUCAUUUUUACCAUUUCUUCAUAAUCUUGAGAAAUACUGGACUGGCUGAAAUUCCUUAAGGUUGUGUUUGGUUAAAAGGAGGGAAUGGAGGAGAGUAAAAUAAUUUGAAUUCUUUUUUUUUUUAUUUCUGUUGUUUGGUUUGACAUAAUGUGUAAUAAUUUAAUGUCUAUUAGAAAUUAAUAUCCAUUAUAAUGUGGAAUUUGAAUUCCACACCAAGAAGUGAAGAAUUCAAAUUCUCCUUAUGUUGGAAACCAAAACAUCCAAAAAUACCCCUUCAACUUUUUAACUUAUUUAAUGUAAUCACAUAAUUACUAUUUAUACUUUCAUUUUUUUUCAAUUCAACAUCAUAGAUAAUUUUAAAUUAAUUAAAUUUAAAUAAUGAUUUAAAAAGCUUAACAAAAUAAAUUUAUUUAUGUUGGCAUUUUAAGUGUGGCAUAUUUUUGUUGACUUGAAAAAUUAUUCAUGCAGGGAUUUUUGUCUUAGAUUACUUCUAAGCUGAGGUUUAUGCUCCGCCAUAUCUGUUUGUUUACUAACUUCUGAAAUAAUUAUGCAGAUAUGUUUAUCUUUCUAUGAAGUAAAAAACAAACAGCCAUCAUGGUUCACUAACAAAAUUGAACGCCUAUACUGGGAGCAGUGGUAUGUGAAUUUGAAUGUGGCCCGACUCCCAAAAGCUCAUUCCAACAAGUCUCAUCAUUCCAAAGUUGUAUUUGACCCUGGAGGUACUGAAACUUUAGAUUUAACUUAAAGAAUAUUUGAUGUCUCACUUAUUUGAAGGUAUAUGCUUCUUAUUUUCCCUCAUUAUAUCCUUGAAUACAGAGAGCGCAUCUGAGGAGAGAAGCGUUCGCCGGGCAGCACUUGAAGCUUCUCUUCGUGAUGUUUUAUUUCAAAUAAUAAAAUUUGUUAAUGAGAAAAAAGACCAUGUUCCUUCCAUUUCUGAGGGUGUCAUCUAUUUUCCUUAUGAAAUAACCAUCCCAAGGUCAGCUCUCCUUUAACAGUUUUUUCUUCAUUAAUGUGAAUGCCUAUUUUACUUUUCAUGUGGUAGUUUUGUUAUUAUCGCUCAUGCUGAUAUGUGGAAAGCGAGUGAUCAUUGUCUUAGCCUUCUUGCUUCAAAGGAUUUCUUUAUCCCUUGUGAUCGAAGUUAUACAGUGGUUUAGGUUUGGAUGAACUUUAUGUGACUGUUUUAGCAAAAUGAUGCCAAUAAAGCUUCAGUACAUUUUCUUGAAAAUUUUUGUUGCGUGUUUGCUGAACUUUAAUAAUGUUUACUUCUCUUGUUGCUAAGAUUUUGUAAUAAAAUUUACAUACAUGUUUUUGACUUUUUUCUUUUAAUGCUGUUGGAUGGGUGGGUCGCCCAUGAUGGGCUGACCUGACCCGACCCACACAUGGUAACUACCAUGUAGUUACAUGUACGGUUAUGGAUAUUGAGAGGGAAGUUAAUUUUAAAUAAACUUCCUCCACUGGCUAAAAUCUCUCUAAUGACAAGAAUAAGAGUAGAGAUACGUAAAAAUUAUUAAAAAUCAUCUUCUUCUCUUCUUCGUGAAGAUUAAAAUUAAGACCAUCGAACAAUCCAUAAAGAGGGCAUUUAUACUGUGAGCAGAGAAGGAUUUCCGCUUGUGAUUUCUUUCCGACCAUUAACGUGAUCCAAUACUUGAUUGCUCUGCUGCUUAUUUCGAGAAGAAAGGUAUUUCUAGAAUCCUUAUUUUUCCUUCAAAUGCAGUAGAAGAAUUGUCUUUGAAAUUGUUCAAGCAAGAAAAAGAACCGGAUAGGGAGGGAGAAAGAAUACACACAAUCUUGGAUGAAAGUUGUAGUUAUGUUCACUGUUUUUCCCACUUGGUGGCUGUUUCUGUUGGGAAAAUAUGCUCUUUAAAGCAUAUGUGUUUAUUUAUUUGUAAUAAACAUUUUUUCUGAUUAAUAAAAUUAAUGAGGUAUUUCAUUCAAAUAUCUUAAUUGCAUUAAUAUUUGUAUUAAAGUCCAUUUAAUCAUAUUAUAUGUAUUUAUGUGAUCACCAUGUGGAUUCACAGAAGACAUAAAUACAAGUUAUCUUAUGAUUAAAUAAAUUUAGUUCGCAGUUGAUAAAUAAAGUUGGACACUUUAUUUAGGUAUAGACUGUAAUAAAUUCAUUGAAUGAUUUGUCUUAAUCAUGUAUGAAUUUAUUGAUGUAGUGCGACUACAUUGAACAUGAUCACAUAUGAGAUUUAAUUAACUUUGUAAUAACUGUCAGACUUAUUAAAUCUCAUAGGCGUUGAUUUUACUGUAAUCUUAAUCUUGAGUUAAUUAUGAUUUCAUGAUUGUGAUUGUUAUUUCAUUUGAGUUACCAAUGGGCACGACACAUCCUUGUGGUCAAGAUUACCCGGUAUCUUGGUGGGAGCAAUUAUGAGUAUUGGAGUUAUGGAUUAACAAUAUAGAAUUUGUACAACACAUCUCUUGAUAGGUUUUCGGUACUUGAUCAUAGAAUUCUCUGGCCAGAGUGUGUCAACAUAUUUAGUAUGUUGAAAAUGGUCAUUAGAGAAAACCAGUAAGGAUCAAGGAAUAAGAUGUUAUUAAAUUGAUUGGACAGUUGAGAUAUCAAUUUAAUUAACGAUGUGGUACAAAGGAUUGUGCAGUAAAGAAAUCAAUGUGGCUUGGGACGAAUUAUUAUUCGAGCAUACAAUUAUGGAAGUCAGUUCCAAUCUUUUAGUGGAGUAGAUUUGGAAUUAAAUAAUUGGGCUAGUUUAAUUACAGGCCUAAUUAUUGUAGCCACUAUUGUAUGUUCCCAAAUGAUCCCCGGGUUAGCUCAUUUAAUUGACUGCACCACUACUGGACUAAUAAGUAAGAUAACUAGCUAUUUGGGUCAAAAGCCUAAAUAUAUCAUUUAGUGGGAGGCUCCAUUUAAUUAGCUUUUGUAUAAGGGGCCUUAUGUUAUUUUACAAGGUGGGUCCCUUAUUGAAAAAGCAAAUAACGUGGGUUUUGUUUUUUGGGAUUAUUUGGAGCCUAGGGUUUUCACUAAAGGGUGAUAUAUAAAAGGCUUAUUUUCUCAAAAGAAAGAUGGGGAAGCCACUUUAUACAAAUCGGAGAAUAAGAUUUUUCUCUCUAUUGUUGAGAGAAAAAUUUUCUCGUGCUAGUUGCUUUGGUAGUGAUAAAGGCGCCCACACGUCAAGUGCAGAUCGAACCUGAGUCAUAACCUGGAAGAUCAUUGGAGACAGUUCGUGAUCUAACAGGAGUGGUGGUGGCGGAUCGUGAUCUAGGAGCCUAAAUCACUUCAACGGAAAAAGUCCAAUCGGAUUUUCAAGGUACGAUUUCUAGAAUACAAAUUCUUAUAUAUUAUAUGAGAGCAAUCUUCAAAAGGUUUUAUAAAAAUUUUAAAAACCUAAUUUUUCCCAACAAUUGGUAUCAGAGCCAUCUCAUAUUAAUAUAUAAGAAUUUCGUAUGAAAUUAAUCUUGAAAUUUAUGUAUUAGAGUGGCACAAUUUAUUCAGAUGUAUAUUAUUUAUUUAAUAUAUGAAUAAAGCAUGCUUAUGGUUUGUCUUAAUUCAUGGUUAGAUUUUCUUUUGUAUUGUUCUUUGGAUCUGUAACAAGAGGGGUGGUUUUUUAUCACCAUGUUUCCCUCUUGAUUUAUUUUACAGUUAUAGAAUUUUUGUAAGUCAAAAUUGGUCUAGGAAAUUUGUAAAUUAAUCUCAGAUUUUCAAGAUCGGAGCGACGGAGGCCGGAAAUUAUGACAGCGGCAGCAAACCAGGGCAUGCUGCAGCAGCGUGCGCGGCCAGCAAUGGCCAGCAUCGCGCGCUGCGCUGUGCGCAGCAAAGCAGCGCGCGCGGCCAACAUUGGCCAGCGGCGCGCGCUGCGCUGUGCGCAGCAAGCAGCGCGCGCUGCAUGUGCUGCAGCUGGAAGCAACGCUGCCGAGGCCAGCAGAAAGUUGCGCGCGGGUUUUGGCACGUUUUCCGGCCAGGCGGCAGCAGUUGGUUUGGCGUCGGCGUCGGCGUCGGAGGUCGGCUGGCGUCUGAACAGUGAAGGAGGAUUUUGGAGAUGGCGGCUGGGGAAGAAGAAAGAAAGAAAAAUAUGGAUUUAGGGUUUCAUGGCUUUUAUCAUGGAGGUCCCUAUGGUUCCAUAAUUUUUCACUUGGGCAGUCAAGUUUUAAUUUUUUGCAUUUAAGUCUAAAAAUAGUUUUGGGCUUAAAGAAUCCUAGUUUUAGGCCCAAUUGAUAUUUGGGCUUAAUGGAUUAAAAAUGCAUAGACAAAAUUAAAUACAUUAAAUUUAUUUUUGGUCCAAAAGUUUUAUUUUAAUAAAAAAAAUAAAAUAAAAAUAAAAUAAUUUAUUUAUUUAUUUCCUUUCAAAAUUAAAAUUGGACCAAUUAUAAAUUUAAAAGCUCAAUUUCCCCUAGUCCAUUAACAAAAACAAGCUUAUGGAAGAUGGACAUUGACAAGAAGCCCAAUGAAGAUUAGGCUUAGGGUUAAUGUAUUUUUCAUUAUUAGGAAAGCCAUGAAUUAAGAUUAUUUAAUAGUUUUUCUAUAUGUUAUGUUUUGGAUGAUAACAUGCCAUGAUAACAUGUCAUAUAGAAUAGGUAGUGCCACUCUAUGCAUAAUGAUACAUGUCAUUCAUUAAUAAUGAAUUUCAUUAUAUUGUUUGAAAUUUGUAUAUGCUUAAUAAUAUUUGAUAUCAUCUAGAUAAUAUUAUAGGAAGCAUGCAAUUAACAAUAUGUAUGUUUUAAAAAGGAAAAACCAAUUUUAAAAUAUUGAGUGGGAGAGGGAAAAUUCAAGAUAAUUUUCCCACGGGCUCCAUUGUUAGUUCAAUAAUAAAAUUAUAUAUAUACCUCGACUUCAUGAUACGGUGAUGCUCCCUUCGGAGGGUAUAUAUAUUAGAUAUUUUAUUUGAUGAACUUCUUCAAAGAUAAAAUUGAAAUAUUUUUCAAUCGAUUGUUCACCCCAACGGUGACUAUUGAUAUGAAAAAUACGUAGAUUGAAACAAUGGUUAUACACUCAACUAAAGUUUGUUAUUAACCUUCCCAACGAAGCUCUGUUAACAAAUUUAGGUCCAAAGGGAUAACGAUAAUUAUUUAUCAUGUCUCUACAUGAAAGUAAAUAAUCCAAUGGAUAAUUGGGUCUAGUAAGUGUAGACAUGACUUCCCCAACGGAUAGCUUGUCAAAGCGGUACUAGAUUAUCGUUACAAUAAAUUAAAAUACAUUUAUGGUUUUUUGCAUUUUUGUCAUUUAUUGUGAAUAUUGUUUCAAAGUAUUUAUGCAUGUGUAUUUUGUUUUUUCAGAAAAUGUCUUCCAUCAACCCAUUAUUAUUUAUCCUUGUUAAAAAUGAACUCACUGGCGAAAAUUAUUUAGAUUGGAAACGCAAUCUAUUUAAUAUUCUCACUGCUAAGGGAAGCAAAUAUGUGUUGACCCAGCCUUGCCCUCCUGAACCAUCGUUAUACGAUUAUAGAAAUCAGAGGGAGCCUUAUGAGAAAUGGUGCGAAGCUAACAAAAUGGCUAAGCGCUAUAUAUUGGCUUCGAUUUCUGUGGAACUGCAUAAGAAACAUCGGAGCAUGGAAACAGCCACUGAAAUAAUGGCUAGUCUUCAUCAGAUGUUUGGGCAAAAUACCCAUUUUGCCAGAGAAGCAGCAUUAAAACGUAUUACGGAUACUCAGAUGGAAGAGGGCACAAAAGUUCGUGAUCAUGUCCUCAAAAUGAUGGACUAUUUGAAUGAGGUAGAGAUUCAUGGUGUUCAAAUCAAUGAUAAAUCAAAGAUUAACAUGGUGAUUGAAUCUUUACCUGAUACAUUCAAAGAGUUUAAGGUCAGCUAUAUCUUAAACAAUAAAGAUAUGACCUUAAUUGAAUUAAUGCACGAACUACAUGCUAUAGAAGAAUUUUAUCAUAGCAGAAAACUUCCUGAAAAAGGAUUCUCUUCAAGGCUUAAGUCAAAAGACAAGAAUGAGCAAGCAAGAGUUGGGAUCGGCAAACUGUCCAUUAAAAGAAGUGGCAAGCCAAAAGGCAAGUGUUACAAAUGUGGACAGAAGGGUCACUGGAAGAAAGAUUGUCCUAAGAUUAUUAAAAUCAGGUAUAGGAAAUCUUUAAGCUUCCUAAUUAGUUCAGAUUUCUAUUGAUUCAUACAAUAAUGAAUUCUGAGAUAACUAAUCUUAUUUGUAAUUCAUUUAUUUGGUUUUCAGGAAACCAAGAGAUUAAGUGAAGAAAGCUUCAAAUAGCAGUUGAGGAUGUGCUAGUUUAUAUCAAUUGAAAGACUAGAUCAAUUUUACAAGACUUUAGUUUUGAUAUUUGUCUUUAUUUUUCCAAAUAUUAGAGGAAUUUAAUUUCAGUGGCUUGUUUUAAUAAACAGGAGUACACUGUUAUUUUUGGAUCCUCUGUUUAUUACUUAUUUUGGUUAUUUAUAAAGACAAUUUAUAUCAUAAAAGUACAUUGAUCUAUUCAAAGUAAGAUAUAAUGAUUAAAAGUAUAUGCAUUUAUCUAAGAAAAGAAAUGUUUCUUCUAACCAAAAAUCACCUCUGAUAGUUAUGCUUAAGUCAUAUAAACUAUAAUAAGAUUUUAAGAAAAUGAUUAAUGAUAGACUUGUUGGCCUAUUAAGAUUGAUCAUUGUAACUCUAUAAAUCUUAUUUAGAAAAGUAAUAUGACAAGGAUACUCUUUAUGAGCUAAAAGCAUAACAUUGUAUUUGAUGAUUUAGCGCAUACAAAUGUAUACGGACUAAUCAGUUUACAUGUUAUAAGAGGUUAUGAGUAUUCUAUCAAUCUAGUUGAUGAAUAUUCAUUUUAUGUUUGUCUAAAUGAGUCAUGAUUCCAUUGCUUUUGAAAUUCAAAAGAGUACGUGAAUAAGACAGAAGCAAUUAGACAGGAACAUAAAAGAAUUUCGAUAUGAUCGAAACAAAGAAUAUCUCUAUGGAGAAUUCAAGCACUAUUUGGUUGUCAAUGAACACUAUGAUACAAUAGUGUAAUUAAAUGGAGAAACAAGAUUCUUUUGGAUAAGACAAGAUAUAUACUAAGUGGUUUAUCAUUUACCUUUUUGAUUCCAGAUACUAGUAUUUGAAACUACAAAGUUUAUUGAACUUAGUUUCAUCUAUCUCGGUGUCCACUACUCCAAGAAAUUAUGAAAAAGUCACAAACAUGGUUUGAGACACAUUCGUAUUUGGAGUUUACUAGUAUUUCUACUAGAAUCAGAGAUAGAGAAGAUGGAUUCGUGUUCAGAAGCUUGCAUGUUUUAGGUAUCUUAAAGGAAUAAGGGAAAGUCUGAAUUAUAGUCCUCAAGAUAGGAAUGUAUUUAUAGAAAUAUUUUUUACUUUCUUUGAGGAAGACUAUAUAAUGACUUAUAACCUAAGAGUAAGGUAAAACUAGAGAAAUAAAAGAGAUCAGGUUGAUGCUCAGCUUUCAACACCUGUUAUAGAACAGGAAGAACAGCAACAACCAGCUGAUUAGCACAGGAUUAUCCUUGAACAAUCAUCACUUUUAGAACCUCGUCGUAGUGGGAGGGUAACUAGGUUACCUGCAAGAUACAUGUUUUUGGGAGAAACCUAUAAGGCUAUCUCAGAUGAACAUGUACAAGAUCCCACUAGUUACAACGAAGCUCUAAUAGAUAGAGAUGAUGAAUUUUGAAAAAGGCCAUGAAUCAAGAAAUGGAAUCUAUGUAUUCCAAUAAAGUCUGGGAACUUGUAGAGGCACCAAAUGGGGUAAAACCUAUAGGGUGCAAGUGGAUCUACAAGAGAAAAAGAGGAGUAGACGGAAGGGUGGAAACAUUUAAAGCAAGAUUAGUAGCCGAAGGGUUUACUCAGAAAGAAGGAAUCAAUUAUGAGGAAACCUUUUCUCCGGUUGCUAUGCUUAAAUCCAUCAGGAUUCUGCUCUCCAUUGCUGCAGUGCUAGAUUAUGAAAUUUGGCAAAUGGAUGUCAAGACUGCCUUUCUUAACAGGCAUCUUGAAGAAAACAUCUACAUACAGCAACCAGAUGGAUUUAUACAAAAAAGGCCAAGAACACAUGGUAUGUAAGUUGCAGAGAUCUAUUUAUGGAUUGAAGCAAGCAUCCCAGUCAUGGAACAUCAGAUUUGAUCAAGCGAUUAAAUCACUUGGAUUCAUUCAGAACAUUGAUGAACCAUGUGUGUACAAGAAAAUUCAGGGAAAAUUUGUAGCCUUCCUAGUUCUUUGUGUAGACAAUAUUCUCCUGAUUGGAAACGAUAUAGGAGUAUUGACUACAAUAAAGAUUUGGUUAGCAAAACAAUUUGAUAUGAAAGACCUGGGAGAGA